rnacentral:rRNA from 1 species
GGGUUGUGAGGUUAAGCGACUAAGCGUACACGGUGGAUGCCCUGGCAGUCAGAGGCGAUGAAGGACGUGCUAAUCUGCGAUAAGCGUCGGUAAGGUGAUAUGAACCGUUAUAACCGGCGAUUUCCGAAUGGGGAAACCCAGUGUGAUUCGUCACACUAUCAUUAACUGAAUCCAUAGGUUAAUGAGGCGAACCGGGGGAACUGAAACAUCUAAGUACCCCGAGGAAAAGAAAUCAACCGAGAUUCCCCCAGUAGCGGCGAGCGAACGGGGAGGAGCCCAGAGCCUGAAUCAGUGUGUGUGUUAGUGGAAGCGUCUGGAAAGGCGCGCGAUACAGGGUGACAGCCCCGUACACAAAAAUGCACAUGCUGUGAGCUCGAUGAGUAGGGCGGGACACGUGGUAUCCUGUCUGAAUAUGGGGGGACCAUCCUCCAAGGCUAAAUACUCCUGACUGACCGAUAGUGAACCAGUACCGUGAGGGAAAGGCGAAAAGAACCCCGGCGAGGGGAGUGAAAAAGAACCUGAAACCGUGUACGUACAAGCAGUGGGAGCACGCUUAGGCGUGUGACUGCGUACCUUUUGUAUAAUGGGUCAGCGACUUAUAUUCUGUAGCAAGGUUAACCGAAUAGGGGAGCCGAAGGGAAACCGAGUCUUAACUGGGCGUUAAGUUGCAGGGUAUAGACCCGAAACCCGGUGAUCUAGCCAUGGGCAGGUUGAAGGUUGGGUAACACUAACUGGAGGACCGAACCGACUAAUGUUGAAAAAUUAGCGGAUGACUUGUGGCUGGGGGUGAAAGGCCAAUCAAACCGGGAGAUAGCUGGUUCUCCCCGAAAGCUAUUUAGGUAGCGCCUCGUGAAUUCAUCUCCGGGGGUAGAGCACUGUUUCGGCAAGGGGGUCAUCCCGACUUACCAACCCGAUGCAAACUGCGAAUACCGGAGAAUGUUAUCACGGGAGACACACGGCGGGUGCUAACGUCCGUCGUGAAGAGGGAAACAACCCAGACCGCCAGCUAAGGUCCCAAAGUCAUGGUUAAGUGGGAAACGAUGUGGGAAGGCCCAGACAGCCAGGAUGUUGGCUUAGAAGCAGCCAUCAUUUAAAGAAAGCGUAAUAGCUCACUGGUCGAGUCGGCCUGCGCGGAAGAUGUAACGGGGCUAAACCAUGCACCGAAGCUGCGGCAGCGACACUGUGUGUUGUUGGGUAGGGGAGCGUUCUGUAAGCCUGCGAAGGUGUGCUGUGAGGCAUGCUGGAGGUAUCAGAAGUGCGAAUGCUGACAUAAGUAACGAUAAAGCGGGUGAAAAGCCCGCUCGCCGGAAGACCAAGGGUUCCUGUCCAACGUUAAUCGGGGCAGGGUGAGUCGACCCCUAAGGCGAGGCCGAAAGGCGUAGUCGAUGGGAAACAGGUUAAUAUUCCUGUACUUGGUGUUACUGCGAAGGGGGGACGGAGAAGGCUAUGUUGGCCGGGCGACGGUUGUCCCGGUUUAAGCGUGUAGGCUGGUUUUCCAGGCAAAUCCGGAAAAUCAAGGCUGAGGCGUGAUGACGAGGCACUACGGUGCUGAAGCAACAAAUGCCCUGCUUCCAGGAAAAGCCUCUAAGCAUCAGGUAACAUCAAAUCGUACCCCAAACCGACACAGGUGGUCAGGUAGAGAAUACCAAGGCGCUUGAGAGAACUCGGGUGAAGGAACUAGGCAAAAUGGUGCCGUAACUUCGGGAGAAGGCACGCUGAUACGUAGGUGAAGUCCCUCGCGGAUGGAGCUGAAAUCAGUCGAAGAUACCAGCUGGCUGCAACUGUUUAUUAAAAACACAGCACUGUGCAAACACGAAAGUGGACGUAUACGGUGUGACGCCUGCCCGGUGCCGGAAGGUUAAUUGAUGGGGUCAGCGCAAGCGAAGCUCUUGAUCGAAGCCCCGGUAAACGGCGGCCGUAACUAUAACGGUCCUAAGGUAGCGAAAUUCCUUGUCGGGUAAGUUCCGACCUGCACGAAUGGCGUAAUGAUGGCCAGGCUGUCUCCACCCGAGACUCAGUGAAAUUGAACUCGCUGUGAAGAUGCAGUGUACCCGCGGCAAGACGGAAAGACCCCGUGAACCUUUACUAUAGCUUGACACUGAACAUUGAGCCUUGAUGUGUAGGAUAGGUGGGAGGCUUUGAAGUGUGGACGCCAGUCUGCAUGGAGCCGACCUUGAAAUACCACCCUUUAAUGUUUGAUGUUCUAACGUUGACCCGUGAUCCGGGUUGCGGACAGUGUCUGGUGGGUAGUUUGACUGGGGCGGUCUCCUCCUAAAGAGUAACGGAGGAGCACGAAGGUUGGCUAAUCCUGGUCGGACAUCAGGAGGUUAGUGCAAUGGCAUAAGCCAGCUUGACUGCGAGCGUGACGGCGCGAGCAGGUGCGAAAGCAGGUCAUAGUGAUCCGGUGGUUCUGAAUGGAAGGGCCAUCGCUCAACGGAUAAAAGGUACUCCGGGGAUAACAGGCUGAUACCGCCCAAGAGUUCAUAUCGACGGCGGUGUUUGGCACCUCGAUGUCGGCUCAUCACAUCCUGGGGCUGAAGUAGGUCCCAAGGGUAUGGCUGUUCGCCAUUUAAAGUGGUACGCGAGCUGGGUUUAGAACGUCGUGAGACAGUUCGGUCCCUAUCUGCCGUGGGCGCUGGAGAAUUGAGGGGGGCUGCUCCUAGUACGAGAGGACCGGAGUGGACGCAUCACUGGUGUUCGGGUUGUCAUGCCAAUGGCACUGCCCGGUAGCUAAAUGCGGAAGAGAUAAGUGCUGAAAGCAUCUAAGCACGAAACUUGCCCCGAGAUGAGUUCUCCCUGAC